rnacentral:rRNA from 1 species
UCGGCUCAUCACAUCCUGGGGCUGAAGUAGGUCCCAAGGGUAUGGCUGUUCGCCAUUUAAAGUGGUACGCGAGCUGGGUUUAGAACGUCGUGAGACAGUUCGGUCCCUAUCUGCCGUGGGCGCUGGAGAACUGAGGGGGGCUGCUCCUAGUACGAGAGGACCGGAGUGGACGCAUCACUGGUGUUCGGGUUGUCAUGCCAAUGGCACUGCCCGGUAGCUAAAUGCGGAAGAGAUAAGUGCUGAAAGCAUCUAAGCACGAAACUUGCCCCGAGAUGAGUUCUCCCUGACUCCUUGAGAGUCCUGAAGGAACGUUGAAGACGACGACGUUGAUAGGCCGGGUGUGUAAGCGCAGCGAUGCGUUGAGCUAACCGGUACUAAUGAACCGUGAGGCUUAACCUU